rnacentral:rRNA from 1 species
UGAGGAAUAUUGGUCAAUGGGCGCAAGCCUGAACCAGCCAUCCCGCGUGCAGGAAGACGGCCCUAUGGGUUGUAAACUGCCUUUCCAGGGAGAGAAACUUGCGUACGCGUUGCGCAAUUUACGGUACCCUGGGAAUAAGCAUCGGCUAACUCCGUGCCAGCAGCCGCGGUAAUACGGAGGAUGCGAGCGUUAUCCGGAUUUAUUGGGUUUAAAGGGUGCGUAGGCGGAUUAAUAAGUCAGUGGUGAAAUACUGCAGCUUAACUGUAGAAUUGCCGUUGAUACUGUUAGGCUUGAGUAUGGUCAAGGUAGGCGGAAUGUGUAAUGUAGCGGUGAAAUGCUUAGAUAUUACACAGAACACCGAUUGCGAAGGCAGCUUACUGGGACAUUACUGACGCUGAUGCACGAAAGCGUGGGGAUCGAACA